rnacentral:rRNA from 1 species
UAGGGAAUCUUCGGCAAUGGACGAAAGUCUGACCGAGCAACGCCGCGUGAGUGAAGAAGGUUUUCGGAUCGUAAAACUCUGUUGUUAGAGAAGAACAAGGACGUUAGUAACUGAACGUCCCCUGACGGUAUCUAACCAGAAAGCCACGGCUAACUACGUGCCAGCAGCCGCGGUAAUACGUAGGUGGCAAGCGUUGUCCGGAUUUAUUGGGCGUAAAGCGAGCGCAGGCGGUUUCUUAAGUCUGAUGUGAAAGCCCCCGGCUCAACCGGGGAGGGUCAUUGGAAACUGGGAGACUUGAGUGCAGAAGAGGAGAGUGGAAUUCCAUGUGUAGCGGUGAAAUGCGUAGAUAUAUGGAGGAACACCAGUGGCGAAGGCGGCUCUCUGGUCUGUAACUGACACUGAGGCUCGAAAGCGUGGGGAGCAAACAGG